rnacentral:rRNA from 12 species
AGUGGCGAACGGGUGAGUAACACGUGGGUGAUCUGCCUUGCACUCUGGGAUAAGCUUGGAAACUGGGUCUAAUACCGGAUAGGACCUCUGGUCGCAUGGCUGGGGGUGGAAAGUUUUUCGGUACGAGAUGGGCCCGCGGCCUAUCAGCUUGUUGGUGGGGUAAUGGCCUACCAAGGCGACGACGGGUAGCCGACCUGAGAGGGUGACCGGCCACACUGGGACUGAGACACGG